GCUCCAUGUGUGUUCUGUAAUCGGAGGACUCCCUUAUGAUGAAACCUUCACAUGUCCGACCUCCUGAAUGGUGCCGGAGCCUGAAAAGGUGAACCCACUGGUAUCAUCAGGAGGAGAGGAUGGAGGCCAUGUUCCAGCAGGAACGGUCUGACAAGGGUCGGGUUUAUCCUCUUGUAGUCACUGGUAAAGCUCAUAAUGGCAGGAACUCCGGUCAGUACUAAUUCUGCUUUAUUCUUCCAGGUACAUUGGAUCUGGACGGACUCUAGCAGGAUUACUGGAGAACAGGAGUCUGCAGCCCUACACACCAGGAUACGAGGAGCAGAGGAUGAAGAGGAUUUACUGAAGGUUUUCAUCUCCGAUUAACUCACAGGGUUCCGGUGGUGACUGCUGCAGUGGAUGGGAUUACAUUCUGGUCAUGAUGUCAUCACUUGGGGAAGAAGACUUCUGAUCAUCAGCGGUCCAGCCACUGGGACCCCCUGCAAUCUCCAGCCUGACACCCCAGUAACCUGCAUGCAUGGAGCAAAUUCCGCUUUGUGCCGGAUUACAAGCAACCACUCUUCAUGCUCCCUCCAUGUAUUUCCCGUAGACCUUAAAAGUAAAGUGCCUUUUUUUAAAAAUGAAAUUCUAUUAAGCUA